AGUGAAUAGAUACCCGGGUAGUCCUGGCAGUAAACGGUGCACGUUUGGUGUGGGAGGAUUCGACCCCUUCUGCGCCGGAGCUAAACGCGUUAAGCGUGCCGCCUGGGGAGUACGGUCGCAAGAUUAAAACUACAAAGAAAUUGACGGGGGCCCGGCACAAGCGGUGGAGUAUGUGGCUUAAUUCGAUGCAACGCGAAGAACCUUACCUGGCCUUGACAUGCAUCUCUAAGUUGGUGAAAGCCAGCGAGUCUCGAAAGAGACAAUUUGCACAGGUGCUGCAUGGCUGUCGUCAGCUCGUGUCGUGAGAUGUUGGGUUUAAGUCCCGCAACGAGCGCAACCCCUGUGAACUGUUGCCACGGAACCGAGAGGUUCCAGCACCCUGUUCAGACUGCCCUGUG
rnacentral:rRNA from 1 species